AGUGAACGCUGGCGGUGGGCCUAACACAUGCAAGUCGAACGGCAGCACAGUAAGAGUUUGCUCUUACGGGUGGCGAGUGGCGGACGGGUGAGGAAUACAUCGGAAUCUACUUUUUCGUGGGGGAUAACGUAGGGAAACUUACGCUAAUACCGCAUACGACCUACGGGUGAAAGCAGGGGAUCUUCGGACCUUGCGCGAUUGAAUGAGCCGAUGUCGGAUUAGCUAGUUGGCGGGGUAAAGGCCCACCAAGGCGACGAUCCGUAGCUGGUCUGAGAGGAUGAUCAGCCACACUGGAACUGAGACACGGUCCAGACUCCUACGGGAGGCAGCAGUGGGGAAUAUUGGACAAUGGGCGCAAGCCUGAUCCAGCCAUACCGCGUGGGUGAAGAAGGCCUUCGGGUUGUAAAGCCCUUUUGUUGGGAAAGAAAAGCAGCAGGUUAAUACCCCGCUGUUCUGACGGUACCCAAAGAAUAAGCACCGGCUAACUUCGUG
rnacentral:rRNA from 1 species